GACGAACGCUGGCGGCGUGCUUAACACAUGCAAGUCGAACGGAAAGGCCCUGCUUUUGUGGGGUGCUCGAGUGGCGAACGGGUGAGUAACACGUGAGUAACCUGCCCUUGACUUUGGGAUAACUUCAGGAAACUGGGGCUAAUACCGGAUAGGAGCUCCUGCUGCAUGGUGGGGGUUGGAAAGUUUCGGCGGUUGGGGAUGUACUCGCGGCUUAUCAGCUUGUUGGUGGGGUAGUGGCUUACCAAGGCUUUGACGGGUAGCCGGCCUGAGAGGGUGACCGGCCACAUUGGGACUGAGAUACGGCCCAGACUCGUACGGGAGGCAGCAGUGGGGAAUAUUGCACAAUGGGCGGAAGCCUGAUGCAGCAACGCCGCGUGCGGGAUGACGGCCUUCGGGUUGUAAACCGCUUUCGCCUGUGACGAAGCGUGAGUGACGGUAAUGGGUAAAGAAGCACCGGCUAACUACGUG
rnacentral:rRNA from 1 species